rnacentral:rRNA from 1 species
AAAUUGAAGAGUUUGAUCAUGGCUCAGAUUGAACGCUGGCGGCAGGCCUAACACAUGCAAGUCGAACGGUAACAGGAAGAAGCUUGCUUCUUUGCUGACGAGUGGCGGACGGGUGAGUAAUGUCUGGGAAACUGCCUGAUGGAGGGGGAUAACUACUGGAAACGGUAGCUAAUACCGCAUAACGUCGCAAGACCAAAGAGGGGGACCUUCGGGCCUCUUGCCAUCGGAUGUGCCCAGAUGGGAUUAGCUUGUUGGUGGGGUAACGGCUCACCAAGGCGACGAUCCCUAGCUGGUCUGAGAGGAUGACCAGCCACACUGGAACUGAGACACGGUCCAGACUCCUACGGGAGGCAGCAGUGGGGAAUAUUGCACAAUGGGCGCAAGCCUGAUGCAGCCAUGCCGCGUGUAUGAAGAAGGCCUUCGGGUUGUAAAGUACUUUCAGCGGGGGAGGAAGGGAGUAAAGUUAAUACCUUUGCUCAUUGACGUUACCCGCAGAAGAAGCACCGGCUAACUCCGUGCCAGCAGCCGCGGUAAUACGGAGGGUGCAAGCGUUAAUCGGAAUUACUGGGCGUAAAGCGCACGCAGGCGGUUUGUUAAGUCAGAUGUGAAAUCCCCGGGCUCAACCUGGGAACUGCAUCUGAUACUGGCAAGCUUGAGUCUCGUAGAGGGGGGUAGAAUUCCAGGUGUAGCGGUGAAAUGCGUAGAGAUCUGGAGGAAUACCGGUGGCGAAGGCGGCCCCCUGGACGAAGACUGACGCUCAGGUGCGAAAGCGUGGGGAGCAAACAGGAUUAGAUACCCUGGUAGUCCACGCCGUAAACGAUGUCGACUUGGAAGUUGUGCCCUUGAGGCGUGGCUUCCGGAGCUAACGCGUUAAGUCGACCGCCUGGGGAGUACGGCCGCAAGGUUAAAACUCAAAUGAAUUGACGGGGGCCCGCACAAGCGGUGGAGCAUGUGGUUUAAUUCGAUGCAACGCGAAGAACCUUACCUGGUCUUGACAUCCACGGAAGUUUUCAGAGAUGAGAAUGUGCCUUCGGGAACCGUGAGACAGGUGCUGCAUGGCUGUCGUCAGCUCGUGUUGUGAAAUGUUGGGUUAAGUCCCGCAACGAGCGCAACCCUUAUCCUUUGUUGCCAGCGGUCCGGCCGGGAACUCAAAGGAGACUGCCAGUGAUAAACUGGAGGAAGGUGGGGAUGACGUCAAGUCAUCAUGGCCCUUACGACCAGGGCUACACACGUGCUACAAUGGCGCAUACAAAGAGAAGCGACCUCGCGAGAGCAAGCGGACCUCAUAAAGUGCGUCGUAGUCCGGAUUGGAGUCUGCAACUCGACUCCAUGAAGUCGGAAUCGCUAGUAAUCGUGGAUCAGAAUGCCACGGUGAAUACGUUCCCGGGCCUUGUACACACCGCCCGUCACACCAUGGGAGUGGGUUGCAAAAGAAGUAGGUAGCUUAACCUUCGGGAGGGCGCUUACCACUUUGUGAUUCAUGACUGGGGUGAAGUCGUAACAAGGUAACCGUAGGGGAACCUGCGGUUGGAUCACCUCCUUA